rnacentral:rRNA from 1 species
AUUGAACGCUGGCGGCAUGCCUUACACAUGCAAGUCGAACGGCAGCACGGGUGCUUGCACCUGGUGGCGAGUGGCGAACGGGUGAGUAAUACAUCGGAACGUACCUUAUCGUGGGGGAUAACGCAGCGAAAGUUGCGCUAAUACCGCAUACGCCCUGAGGGGGAAAGCGGGGGACCGUAAGGCCUCGCGCGAUUAGAGCGGCCGAUGUCUGAUUAGCUUGUUGGUGAGGUAAAAGCUCACCAAGGCGAUGAUCAGUAGCUGGUCUGAGAGGACGAUCAGCCACACUGGGACUGAGACACGGCCCAGACUCCUACGGGAGGCAGCAGUGGGGAAUUUUGGGCAAUGGGGGCAACCCUGAUCCAGCCAUGCCGCGUGCGGGAAGAAGGCCUUCGGGUUGUAAACCGCUUUUAGCCGGAAAGAAAAGGCGGAGGCUAAUACCCUCCGUUCUUGACGGUACCGGCGGAAUAAGCACCGGCUAACUACGUGCCAGCCGCCGCCGUAA